GGAUGUAAGGGCGAUCUGGCUGCGACAUCUGUCACCCCAUUGAUCGCCAAGGUUGAUUCGGCUGAUCUGGCUGGCUAGGCGGGUGUCCCCCUCCUCCCUCAUCGAUCCGUGUGCGUCCCUCCCAAAGCUGCGCGCUCGGUCGAAGAGGACCACCUCUCCCCCCCACCCCCCCACCCCGAGGAGAGGACCGGUCUUCGGUCAAGGGUAUACGAGUAGCUGCGCUCCCCUGCUAGAACCUCCAAACAAGCUCUCAAGAAAAGAUAUACAAGAUAUUGUUAAGGAAAAAUGCAAGAUACAGAACAGAACAUGCUUGCAUUUAUAUAAAAGGGGGUUUAUAU
rnacentral:snRNA from 1 species